rnacentral:rRNA from 1 species
UACGAAGGGGGCUAGCGUUGCUCGGAAUCACUGGGCGUAAAGCGCACGUAGGCGGCUUGUUAAGUCAGGGGUGAAAUCCUGGAGCUCAACUCCAGAACUGCCUUUGAUACUGGCGAGCUUGAGUUCGGGAGAGGUGAGUGGAACUGCGAGUGUAGAGGUGAAAUUCGUAGAUAUUCGCAAGAACACCAGUGGCGAAGGCGGCUCACUGGCCCGGUACUGACGCUGAGGCGCGAAAGCGUGGGGAGCAAACAGG